UACAGGGGGGGCAAGCGUUGUUCGGAAUUACUGGGCGUAAAGGGCUCGUAGGUGGCCAACUAAGUCGGACGUGAAAUCCCUCAGCUUAACUGGGGAACUGCGUCCGAUACUGGAUGGCUCGAGUUUGGGAGAGGGAUGCGGAAUUCCUGGUGUAGCGGUGGAAUGCGCAGAUAUCAGGAGGAACACCGGUGGCGAAGGCGGGUCUCUGGGCAGUAACUGACGCUGAGGAGCGAAAGCGUGGGGAGCGAACAGG
rnacentral:rRNA from 1 species